GCCCCGGUGGCACAAUCGGUUAGCGCGCCGUACUUAUAGACAGUACCUUCCCCAUCUGGCCAUGGGAUAAGUUAUGCGGAGGUUGUGAGUUCGAUCCUCACCCUGGGCA
rnacentral:tRNA from 1 species